rnacentral:ncRNA from 1 species
AAGUAGAGGUUGCGGGUGCCAAUAGUACCUUAGCCUAGCAGUCAAAGCUGCGAUUAGGCUAUUCGGGAAAGGGGCAUUCGCCGAAGGAGUCUUCGUCUUUGAAGAAGAUCUUCCUGGGACUUGAGAGAACAUCUCAAGAACUGUCACCUUGCUAUAGUAGGGUGAAGAGCUAACU